rnacentral:rRNA from 1 species
UACAGAGGUCCCAAGCGUUGUUCGGAUUCAUUGGGCGUAAAGGGUGCGUAGGCGGCGCGGUAAGUCGGGUGUGAAAUCUCGGAGCUUAACUCCGAAACUGCAUUCGAUACUGCCGUGCUUGAGGACUGGAGAGGAGACUGGAAUUUACGGUGUAGCGGUGAAAUGCGUAGAUAUCGUAAGGAAGACCAGUGGCGAAGGCGGGUCUCUGGACCGGUUCUGACACUGAGGAGCGAAAGCGUGGGGAGCGAUCCGG